rnacentral:rRNA from 1 species
UACACUCCUGCGGGAGGCAGCAGUGGGGAAUAUUGGACAAUGGGCGCAAGCCUGAUCCAGCCAUGCCGCGUGAGUGAUGAAGGCCCUAGGGUUGUAAAGCUCUUUCACCGGUGAAGAUAAUGACGGUAACCGGAGAAGAAGCCCCGGCUAACUUCGUGCCAGCAGCCGCGGUAAUACGAAGGGGGCUAGCGUUGUUCGGAUUUACUGGGCGUAAAGCGCGCGUAGGCGGACUAUUAAGUCAGGGGUGAAAUCCCGGGGCUCAACCCCGGAACUGCCUUUGAUACUGGUAGUCUUGAGUUCGAGAGAGGUGAGUGGAAUUCCGAGUGUAGAGGUGAAAUUCGUAGAUAUUCGGAGGAACACCAGUGGCGAAGGCGGCUCACUGGCUCGAUACUGACGCUGAGGUGCGAAAGCGUGGGGAGCAAACAGGAUUAGAAACCCCGGUAGUCCCA